rnacentral:Y_RNA from 1 species
UUGGCGAAUGCUGGUAGGACUACAUGGCGGCGCGGGUUCGAAUCCCGCCCUGCGCAAGCGGGUAGCUCAGUGGGUAGAGCACAAACUGUCCUCCAAAACCUUGUCGCCAUGGC